rnacentral:tRNA from 1 species
CAAGCUAGAGCUUGCUAGAAAGCAUUUUAUUUACAUUAAAAAGUUAACUGUGAGAUUCAGUUUGGCUUGA